GACGAACGCUGGCGGCGUGCUUAACACAUGCAAGUCGAACGGUAAGGCCCUUCGGGGUACACGAGUGGCGAACGGGUGAGUAACACGUGGGUGAUCUGCCCCGCACUUCGGGAUAAGCCUGGGAAACUGGGUCUAAUACCGGAGAGGACCACUGCCUGCAUGGGUGGUGGUGGAAAGCUUUUGCGGUGUGGGAUGGGCCCGCGGCCUAUCAGCUGUUUGGUGGGGUGAUGGCCUACAAAGGCGACGACGGGUAGCCGGCCUGAGAGGGUGACCGGCCACACUGGGACUGAGAUACGGCCCAGACUCCUACGGGAGGCAGCAGUGGGGAAUAUCGCACAAUGGGCGCAAGCCUGAUGCAGCGACGCCGCGUGAGGGAUGACGGCCUUCGGGUUGUAAACCUCUUUCAGCACCGACGAAGCGCAAGUGACGGUAGGUGCAGAAGAAGGACCGGCCAACUACGUGCCAGCAGCCGCCGUAA
rnacentral:rRNA from 1 species